rnacentral:tRNA from 13 species
CUCCCCGCGGGGAAUCGAACCCCGAUCGCCCGCGUGACAGGCGGGGAUACUAACCACUAUACAAAAGGA